rnacentral:rRNA from 1 species
UACGUAGGGUGCGAGCGUUGUCCGGAAUUAUUGGGCGUAAAGAGCUCGUAGGCGGUCCGUCACGUCGGAUGCGAAAUUCCAGGGCUCAACCCUGGACCUGCAUUCGAUACGGGCGGACUAGAGUUCGGUAGGGGAGACUGGAAUUCCUGGUGUAGCGGUGAAAUGCGCAGAUAUCAGGAGGAACACCGGUGGCGAAGGCGGGUCUCUGGACAGUUCCUGACACUGAGGCACGAAGGCCAGGGGAGCAAACGGG